GUGACGUCCGUCGUCCAUCAGUCACAUGACCUUCGUGCACGUGGUGUAAAGCGCUACCGGAAGCGGCGGAGCCGUGCUGCUGCACCGCCUUCCCUAUGACUGCAGUUGCGCAGACGUUGUGCUUCUAGAGGCUGAGAUUGUGUGACGUCACCGGCCUGUGGCUUUCCUCCUUGUUUUUACCCAUGUUUGGUGACUGCUGAAUAAACUUUUUGGAUUAUUUUACCUCUGUGCCCAUCUUCGGUGUUUCUGGGGAACUGAGGCCGACUCAGAGGACUUCUGAAGUUCUGAACAACAGUACUAGGGCAUCAUUGCGCCACAUUCUCAGUCCAAACCCGGACAUUUGCAUGUCUGGUGGUCCUGACUCUGCUUCAAACCCGGACACACAAAACGGAAUGUCUGGGUCAUUCCCAGGUGGAAACCCUACAGAGUCCUGAGUUUAAGUCUGAGGGUUUUUGAGUUUGGGUCUUAUGGGCUGGACUGGGAAAUCAGACCGGGCCUGGAAUUUUUUUUAUGGGGCACGAAGAACAGGUUUGGUAACCUGUGGAUUAAGCUUCUUAUAAUUAAAGCAAACAGUUUAAAGUGACAUUGAAUGAAACUACAAACAGUGUCCUUUUACAAGACCAGCUUAUUUGUCUGCAUACAAAGGUUGAGUUAAAGCUGAUUUACAGGACGUACAGAACUCGUCCUUAAGGGCAGUUUGCUCACUGGCUGAUAAGGAAAACUCACACAGCGUUAUUGGUAGACAUAAACACACAAAUAAAACACUUUUAUUGUAAUACAUUUUAAAUAACUUUGUUUUCAAUGCAGAAAACAUAACUUAUUUAUGUAUCAGAACAGCAAACCAAAGCCUGUGCUCUAUAUUAGCUGUUCCUGUGCUGAUAUGUAACAGUUCUGUUCUCUUUGUAUUAUCAAUAAAGUUGUCAGUUUUGUAUCUAUGAUUGUGUUCUCUUUGUAUUAUCAAUAAAGUUGUCAGUUUUGUAUUUGUA